rnacentral:lncRNA from 1 species
UCAAUAGCAAAAGACCAGAACAUUUUUAUAGAUCCAAUUGGGCUGAUGUUCCUGUUGUCCUUUGCUGGCCUGCUGCUCAUUCAGUUCAUUGCUAUGGGAUACCACAGAAUCUACACACUUAUACACUUCAUAGCCUACACAGGAACAGAGUCAAAGGCAUCAGGAAGAAAACAGUCCCAGAAGUCCCAGAAGACCCUGAAAAAUGCAAAGCUGAUAGAAAACCAAACAUGUCUUUAACUGGAGUUAAAGAAUCUGAACAGCAACUCUGACAGCUCAGCUCAGUCUAUCCAGUUGACGUCAGCUGGGACUAACAUCUCAUCUCCCAGUGGCACCUCACAAAGUCUCUUUCUGUUGAACUGUAGCAGAGCUAAAAGACAUCAGCCGAGGGCUCGAUUAUUCAAGGAAAUACCUCCUAUGACAAGUACUUGACAAUGGAUAUAAAAUAUAUUAGCAUUAUAUUUCAAGUACUUUGUAAGUAUGUAGAAUUUUAAGGAUUUCAAGUUUAAAUCAUACGUAAAUUGUCAUUAAUAUUGUGUGCAAAUAUUGUGUGUUCUGUUUACUCCUAUUCUGUGAUUUCAAAACAUUGAUUAUAUUUAGCUAUAUUCAAUGUAUGGGUUUUGAACAAGUACUGCAUUGUGUGUUGUACCAGAAAGUAAAUUUGACAAAUGCAAAAGAAUCUGUUUUUCUACAAAAGCCUCAGAAAAAUAAGGGAAUGUAGCAUAAUUAUAAAACUCACAGAUAAAGUCUAUUAUCCUAUACUUCUGUCUCAUUGAUGAAAGAUAACUUCACAGUUUUACAAUGAUAAACAUG